GCGGCGCAGCGGGGGCCGCUGACGGGAGCUGCCUGCCCGCCACCCCGAGAGCCGCCGCGUUCGGCCCGAAGUUCAGCCGGCAACCUCGGCGCUGUCGGAAGGGCCGAUCGGCGAACGCCGCGAGCUUCAGCACCGACGGAGCGGGAUACAGAGCUGCGAGCGGACUGCGGGCACCGCGCAGGGCAGAACCGCCUUCUGCUCGGGUACCGCCGCCAAACCGGGGCGGCUCUGCCCUCCCGCGGGGCUCCCGUGCCGCCCCGUGCGGCUCCGGCGGUGUGGCGUCACAGAGUGGGGCGUGACGUCACUGGCAUCCAGCGAGGGAAGGGACGUGACGUCAGCACGGCAGCGCGCGUUCGUCGACUGCCCCUCGGAGUGCAGCUGUCUGUCUUUUUGCUGUGGGGAUUUGGCUCGUGUCAGACGCCGCAAAGAAGAGUUUGUUGGUUUUAAACCAAUUUUGUUGUGUUUGGACCUCUGCAUGUGGAAGUAUUGUUGUUGGCUAUCGCUUGCAGUGAAAGCUGCCCUUUUUCUUUAUUUCAGGUGCAGGUGUCAGGCCAGAUUCAUCCCUGGUUAUCCUCUGGGACUAUAAAUAAAACAGUGAAAAUAAGAAUCGAAGUAAUGCCAAAAUGAAGGGUAGAGCUGGCAAACGCUCAGAUUUGGGUUCUGCUUUCUCCAGAAUGGGCCCUCUGUUUUUAUGGCACUCUAACACGUAGUUGCCAGCUUCAGUGUCGUUGCAGAGUUAAGCCUUAAAUCCCAUCCCCCCCACACAUAGCACUGCAACUGAUGACACAUAUUGAAGAUGUGCGCAUGUUUUUGAUUGUUUUUCCAUAUAAUACAGCCCUCUUCAAACUUCAGCCUUCAUCUGUACCGCUUCCUGCGAUUCCUCCAACCUCCCUGUUGUCACGGUGCCGUGCCAUUGGGUUUUAGUAACGUGUUUGUAGUGUGAGGAAGGGACGUGAGCUGGGAGAUGUGCAGGGUGCAGGCAGCCGCCUCAGACAGGAACACAAGAGGGCAGGGUAGCAUUAAUUGUUGUGCUUCCUGACGUCAGACUUUUCUUUGCACUGUGAGCAUUUUCUCCGUUUGUUAUCUGCCUGGAACUUUUUAGGCUUCCCAAGUGAAGUUUCCAUAGUACCCACAAACCUUUAUAGCCUAUGGUGUUGUUUUUUUUUUCCAAUAAUAAUCCUCCUUUUUUUUUUUUUUUUUUCCUCUGGGUACAUAAUUUAAGCAAAUUAUAUGUUCUCUAAAGCUGCAGUUAUAGCAUCUCUAAAUUAGAACUAGUCUUGAAAGCGUUACCCGUGUAAUUACAACACUUUCAAGAAAAAAAAAAAACACAUGAAGUCUCAUAAGAAGUUUAACUUACAGUAAAUUUAAUUUUCAAGCAUAUCUGCAUUUAUCACUAAAAAAUCCAGAAAUCUGCAGUUAACCAGUGCUCAUGCUAAUGGUGACUUCUCUCUAGGUUCAUAAUGUACGGAAACACAUUUUAAAAAUGGAGCUCUAAUCACAGAAUCAUUAAGAUUAUAAAAGACCACUGGGAUCAUCUAGUCCAGCCCAUCACCUCAUGUCCUUCUGAUCAACUAAUGUCAGGCUUA
ensembl:lncRNA